UGGGGAAUUUUGCACAAUGGGGGAAACCCUGAUGCAGCGACGCCGCGUGAUUUAGAAGGCCUUCGGGUUGUAAAAAUCUUUUCUAUGGGAAGAAAAUGACAGUACCAUAGGAAUAAGGACUGGCUAAUUACGUGCCAGCAGCCGCGGUAAUACGUAAGGUCCGAGCGUUGUCCGGAAUCAUUGGGCGUAAAGGGUACGUAGGCGGGUAAGCAAGUUAGAAGUGAAAUCCUGUAGCUCAACUACAGUAAGCUUUUAAAACUGCUCAUCUUGAGAUAUGGAAGGGAAAGUGGAAUUCCUAGUGUAGCGGUGAAAUGCGCAGAUAUUAGGAGGAAUACCGGUGGCGAAGGCGACUUUCUGGCCAUAAUCUGACGCUGAGGUACGAAAGCGUGGGUAGCAAACAGG
rnacentral:rRNA from 2 species